rnacentral:lncRNA from 9 species
CUUUUUUUUUCUUUUUCCUUUUUUUUUUUUUGCCUUUUCUAGGGCUGCUUCCUGCUGCAUAUGGAAGUUCCCAAUGCAGCCAUUAAAAAAAAAAAAAAUCCAGACUUAGGCAUGGCCAAAACAAUACCCCAAAACACUAUAGGCAAAGUCGAAAGUCAAACAAUGAAGUAGGAAAAAGAAGUGCACGCAUAUCACUAACAACGUUAUAAUCACCCAAAUAUAUAAAGAAGUCUUUAUAUAUCAAGAAGAAAAACAAUAUCCCAAUAGAAAAGUAAGCCAAGGGUACAGUCAAUUCACCAAACAAGUAAUACAAAAGAAGUAACAUGAACAGGUGCCUAACUGCACUCAUAACAAGAGAAAUGUAAAUUAAAACUGUCCUGUAAUACCCUUUUUCACCUAUCUGAUUGGCAAAAAUCCAAAUGUUUGACAAUGCGGUCUGGUGGUGAGGCUGUGGGGAAAUAGGCAGUCUCACAUGUUGCUAAUGAGAAGAAAAACAGAGGGCAAAAUCUGUCCAAAGGACAUAUGCAUGUACCUUUUAACCCAGCAAUCCCACUUCCGGAAGUUUAUCUUUAGCUAUAACUGCACACACAAAAUGAUGUACAUACAAGGGUAACUGUUUCAAGGAGUCCAUAAGGAGCCUUCUUUAACACAUUUACUUCCAUCUGCUAGAAAUCUGCAUGACAAACUUAUAAGAUCUGUGCUAAAAACAGCACUUUUGUGCAGUGCACAACUUGCACUACUGUCCCUGGCAUUCCCUAAUAACAGCAUGUGUUGUAAUGGCACAAGAAUGAGAACAAAGCAAGUGUCCAUCAACAGGGAGUAAUCAAAUAAACUAUAAUAUAUACACAAACUGGAAUACUGGAUAGCUGCAAAAAAAAAAAAUCAUAAUCAGGAUAUGCCCCGUAUCUCCAGAAUAUAGUGUUAAGUGAUAUAGGCUAAUGUAUAUAGUUUAUUGCCUAUUAUAUAAGAGGAAAAUAACAAUAUCUGGAGAAAAUGAUAGGAUACAAAUAAACUAAUGCUCACCACAGUGGGAAUGAGGUAGCACAGGUAGAAAAAGGGGCAGGAAUGAGACCUCACUUCAUACUUUGUUGCACUUAACUUUUUAAAUUACGUGAAUGUUAUUAUUUAUUUAAAAAUGAAGCCAAUGCAUCUUUAAAAUUACAGGUUGUAACUGUGUGAAACAGAUAUUGAGCUACAUAAUGCUAUAUACAUGACAUCAAAUCUUGGGAUGUGUGAAGCCCUGAAUAGUUGGGAGGGAGGGAGGGAUCGCUUCCCAUUUUUUAAAAAAAGUCAUAACUGAAAGUUAUACCUUUUUACCAGCCUCUCCCUAUUUCCCCCACAUCCCUCCUCAUGGAAACCACUCUGUUUUCUACUCUCUGUUUCUGUGAGUUUGACUUUUUCUUUUUAGAUUCCACUGAAAUGACACCAUGCAGUGUUCGUCUUUCUUUGGCUGGCUUUAUUUCGCUUAGCAUAACACCCUCCAGGUUCAUCCAUGUUGUUGCAAAUAGAAGGAUUUCCUUUUUUUUUUUCUUUUUAAAGCUGAAUAAUAUUUCACUGUGUGUGGACAUAUAUACACACACGUACAUACCACAUCUUCUUUAUCCAUUCAUCCUUUUUUUUUUUUUUUUUUUUGGCCAUGCCUGCUGCAUGUGGAAGUUCCAGGGCCAGGGAUUGAACCUGAGCCACAGCAGCGACCCAAGCCAAACAGUGACAAAGUCAGAUCCUUAACCUGCCGAGCCACCAGGGCACUUCUUCAUUCAUCCACUGACAGCCACUUAGGCUAUUUUCACACCUUGGCUAUUGUGAAUAAUGAUGCAAUGAACU